GGCCCCAGUACUGAGCAUCUCUGUGGGUGGCAGGCAGGGUGCUCACAGCAGAUAAUAACCAGUCCUCUUCCUUCUCCAUCUCUCCUCUUGCUCCUCUGGCCUCUUUCCUUCCUUUCCUCUCUCCAUUUCUCUCUCUGUGUGUCUCUCUUUCCCUCCUUGUCACCCUCAGCUGUGCCCAGCAGUCCGUGGCCUCCUUGAAAGCCUGGAUGCGGAGUAUGUUAAGAACCGCACUGGUGAACUUUGGGAAGCCCAGCAGGGACAGUGAAGAGCACAGAUGAGGAAACUGCUGUGAUGCCCACCUGCUGAUUGAAUCCUGACUGAAUCUCUGUACAGCCUCCCUAUGGGACAGGCAGUGCUGCUACCAUCUAUCAGGAGGGACAACUGAGUCCAGUCAAGCACACUCUCAGAUACUCCUUCUCUCAAUCAGGACACCCUGUGCUCAUCACCCUCCACCCCAGCAAUAAAAAGCCAUA
rnacentral:lncRNA from 1 species